rnacentral:rRNA from 1 species
GAUGAACGCUAGCUACAGGCUUAACACAUGCAAGUCGAGGGGCAGCAUGGUCUUAGCUUGCUAAGGCCGAUGGCGACCGGCGCACGGGUGAGUAACACGUAUCCAACCUGCCGUCUACUCUUGGACAGCCUUCUGAAAGGAAGAUUAAUACAAGAUGGCAUCAUGAGUCCGCAUGUUCACAUGAUUAAAGGUAUUCCGGUAGACGAUGGGGAUGCGUUCCAUUAGAUAGUAGGCGGGGUAACGGCCCACCUAGUCUUCGAUGGAUAGGGGUUCUGAGAGGAAGGUCCCCCACAUUGGAACUGAGACACGGUCCAAACUCCUACGGGAGGCGGCAGUGAGGAAUAUUGGUCAAUGGGCGAGAGCCUGAACCAGCCAAGUAGCGUGAAGGAUGACUGCCCUAUGGGUUGUAAACUUCUUUUAUAAAGGAAUAAAGUCGGGUAUGUAUACCCGUUUGCAUGUACUUUAUGAAUAAGGAUCGGCUAACUCCGUGCCAGCAGCCGCGGUAAUACGGAGGAUCCGAGCGUUAUCCGGAUUUAUUGGGUUUAAAGGGAGCGUAGAUGGAUGUUUAAGUCAGUUGUGAAAGUUUGCGGCUCAACCGUAAAAUUGCAGUUGAUACUGGAUAUCUUGAGUGCAGUUGAGGCAGGCGGAAUUCGUGGUGUAGCGGUGAAAUGCUUAGAUAUCACGAAGAACUCCGAUUGCGAAGGCAGCC